GAAAAUAGAGAGGGACAAGAAAAGAGAAAGAAGGAGGAAGGAAGGAAGAAGAAGAAGAGACGAAGGGAAGAAGAGAGAGUACAACAACCCUCUCUGCUGCUAGUGCUGCUACUGUUGCUGCCAUACUUGCCCUUCCAUGUACUGUUGAUGGUGAGAGGAAGCUGUCAAAGGGCAUUGCCACUGCUAGAAAGGGAAUCUUUAGCUGGAUAGUUGCUACUGGACAUGCCUGCACACACUAGGAACUCUAGGAAGUAUGAUAGCUGUGUGAUGAUGGAUGUAACAUUGACAGUCUGAGGCACGGUGUGGCCAAGGUUCUUUCUGAUACCAUGGGCUUAGAGAUCAGUCUUACAGCUAUCGCCACAGAUGGUGGAACUGGAGCAGAGACAGACAGAUGAUCAAUACGGUUCUAAGGAAGUGUCUGCGAAACACUUUGUAGCUGGAUGUAUAUCCCUUCUAUUUAUUUAUUAUUAAACUACUGUUAUUAUGGUUAUCAUUGAGUUGUAAGAUUUAAUGAAUACUAUUGUAACUUGUGAAUUUCUUGUAAUGGCCCUAUAAUUAUAAUUAUCAUUGUAAUUUCGUCACCACAUAUAUGCUUCAUAUGGA